rnacentral:rRNA from 1 species
CCUACGGGAGGCAGCAGUGGGGAAUUUUGGACAAUGGGCGCAAGCCUGAUCCAGCAAUGCCGCGUGAGUGAAGAAGGCCUUCGGGUUGUAAAGCUCUUUUGUCAGGGAAGAAACGGCCGAGGCUAAUACCUUUGGCUAAUGACGGUACCUGAAGAAUAAGCACCGGCUAACUACGUGCCAGCAGCCGCGGUAAUACGUAGGGUGCAAGCGUUAAUCGGAAUUACUGGGCGUAAAGCGUGCGCAGGCGGUUUUGUAAGUCUGACGUGAAAUCCCCGGGCUCAACCUGGGAAUUGCGUUGGAGACUGCAAGGCUGGAGUCUGGCAGAGGGGGGUAGAAUUCCACGUGUAGCAGUGAAAUGCGUAGAGAUGUGGAGGAACACCGAUGGCGAAGGCAGCCCCCUGGGUCAAGACUGACGCUCAUGCACGAAAGCGUGGGGAGCAAACAGGAUUAGAUACCCUGGUAGUCCACGCCCUAAACGAUGUCUACUAGUUGUCGGGUCUUAAUUGACUUGGUAACGCAGCUAACGCGUGAAGUAGACCGCCGUGGGGAGUACGGUCGCGAAGAUUAAAACUCAAAGGAAUUGACGG